CUCGGGGUCAGCCCCCCCAGCCUGCGGGGCUCCGUGGGCCUCCAGCACUGCACACGUGUCACUGGGGUGCGCGACGGGCCCUUCCCUGAGCCCCUUUCCAUGGAGCCCAGGCCCCAACGGCGGCAGCUGCCCCUGCCUGACAUCCGGACCCAGCCUCACCUCUCCUUUCACAGCGAGCCCUGCUGGCACUGGGGGCCUGCAUUCCAGUUUUCCUCCCCAGCUGUGGGAUGCUGUUGGCGCCUUGGUGCCAGCCGCUGAGGUGAGCAGGUGGGUGAGGGGCUCCGUGAAGCUCUGGCAUCUGGUGUCCGGCCCAGGACUUGGGGGUGCUGGCCUCGCCGCCUGGCCGGGUCAUACAUAAGGGGUCGGUCAGCUCUGCCCCAGGCCAGGAUGCUGCUGGGCCCACAGCCGCCCCAGGACCCCCUCAGCCCAGGUGCCCUCCCUCAGUGCUCAGUUCCGGGGAUGACUGUGUCCCCCACCCCGUCACGCUGCUCAGCGAGCACCCUGUAAUCCCAUAUGGUAACUCAUGAAUCUACCCACUAAGAAACCACAACAUGUGAUUCCUCGAGGGAGGCUGGGGGGUAGUCGCGGAGUCGUGGCUGGGCCCAGCCGCGGACUCAGGUCUGUGAUGGGCUAACCUGUGCCCCCACAUCCGCAGGUGGGCGGCCUGACCCUAGACUCAGAGCGUGACUUCUUUGGAGACAGGGUCAUUGAAGGUGUGUGUGACGAUGAGGCCACGGGGUCACCCCUGACCAGUGUGACCAGUGUCCUUAUAAAAGGGGCGUGGACCCAGGCGGGCCUAGAGGGAUGGUGGCACAGAGGCAGGAGAAAAUGCCCACCAAAGCCCAGGAGGAGGCCUGGGACAGGCCCUUCCCGGCGCCUUCAGAGGGAGCCUGGCCCUGCCAGAUGCCUGGUCUCACGUCGGCCUCCAGGACUGCGAGACCUUCCUGCUGUGUGGGUGCCCAGUGCCAGCACUUGCUAAGGGUCCCCAGCCCCAGGAAAGCAGUGCCGUCCCCUGAGCCAAGUGGACCUCUCUCUGCUUCUGUGGCUUCUCUAUAUUUAGUUAUCAUGUUUCAAAGGCUUAUCAAAUCCCUGGGCAUAAAACGUUUUACGAAUCUGUCUAAAUAACGUUCCAAGGUGUCUCAUACUCGACGGAAUCUUGGACGGUGCUGCCCCUUGCAGGUGGCUGGGACUGCCUGGGUACAGCCUCUCCUUGGUUUUCAGCUUGGCUCUGCCUUCACCCCACAUGGGGUUCCGUCUGGCCCUAGCGGGGAGGGUGCUUGGCUCGGGCAGUGGGCUGGGCGGCCCCUGGCCCAGGACGGCUCUGGAGAAUAAGGAGGCCACCACAGGCCGGUAGGCCUGAGACCUCUGCCCCUUCUGAGGCCGCGGGGUUGAGCAGCUGAGCAGCUGACUCUCCCAUGGUCAGUGAGGGCUCAGCAUUUUCUCUUCUGGUUGAAAUAGAAACUGGGAAGUUGGAGGCCAAGAUUGAGGGGCAGGCGGAGGUGGUUCUCCUGCCAAGCUUCCUAAACGGCAGAAGCAGCAGAAGCAGCUAGGGUUAGUGUUGGCUUCUCUCUCUCUCUCUCUCUCUCUCUCUCUCUCUCUCUCUGUGUCUCUCUGUCUCUCUCUGUCUCUCUCUCUCUGUGUCUCUCUCUCUCUGUCUCUGUCUCUCUGUCUCUCGGUCUCUCUGUCUCUGUCUCUCUGUCUCUGUCUCUCUCUCUCUGUCUCUCUCUCUCUCUCUCUCAUUUAUUUCUAGAGCAUUUACAAAUUAAUUUUCCUGGUCUAAACCGGGAGGGGCUGCCAUGAUAAAAUGAAGCUGUUUGGUGUUCCAUGUCGAUCUCCCUGAGACAAUGCACUCCUGAGCCUGCUGGGCCCUGCCUCACAGCUGAGUCCUGGUCAGGGCCCUGCCCCUUCUUCCUCUCCCUUGGCCCUGGUUCCACAGAGACCUAUUUCUCCAGGGCAUCCAGGAAGCACCUACGGUGAUGGGGGAUUGCAUUUCAGCAGCAAUCCAUGUGUGAACAUUAAAACGAUCUCCUUAAAUAUUCAUGGUGACCAUGACCUCAUCUGGCUGCCUCGGGCCAGGGCUGGGUGCAGGUCAGGGAAGGGGGCUCAGGCCCUGAGACCCCAGCCUGGUCCCCAGCAAUACAGCUCCCCUCUGUCCUCUCCUCUCUGAGUCAACCCCUCCUGAGAGCUCCGAUGUCUCCUCUCUGGGGUGGCAGAGGUGGGGGCUGCUUUCCAAGCAAAGAAAUGCUCUGGGGCCACGUGGGAAUAAAUAUUUCAUGGGAGAGCAGACCUAGCCAGUAAAAAAUUAAGCAGCUUUACAUCAUCAGAGAGAGAAAGAAAGGGUUGCCUCAUGUUAUGAGUCUGCUGGUGUCCUUAGGACAGAGACAGGGAGACUGAGGUUUUGGGGUAAAUUAUUUAGGGUGUUGUAGGCUGGUCUAGGAAUGUUAAGCUGAAAUGAGACCGGCCCUGGAAGACGACAGGGGGAGCUGGGGUAAGAAGUGCUGCCUUAUGGAAGGCGUGGCGUGCAGAGACGCUGGCCACGAGGAACCCUUUCCCCGUGCACCUGCGCAGUAGCGCCUGCCUCGCGGGAGGCCCCACAGAUGUUGUUGAAUAAAGGGGCAGUGAGUCAGUGAGGCCAUUUCAGCCAUUUUUCUGUUGCCGCCUCACUCUGGAUUUAUGAAAGUACUUGCUAAUCGACGAUCGUCUUCGCCCGGCAUGCUGCAAAUUCACGUUUAUAUGCCCCCUGCCUCCCCCAAAUCAGCUACGGCAGAGUCAGGGGCAGGGACGGGUGGGCAUGGCCGGGCAGCUGCUCGGCUGCGUCACGCCGGGGGUGGCUGGAGCUGAUUCGGAAGCAGUGAAAUGUGGGCCCGCGUGGCUUCCCUGGAAAGAAAACAGGUCCUUGCCUAGAAAUUCAGUGGGUGACCUAAGAUGAUUGAGGGCUGUGUCCAUGUAAAUUUUUCAGUAAGGUGAGGGGCCAGUUUGUCAGUAAACUCCCUGGUGCUGUAAUUAGGGGGCUAUGUUCAGGAACUGGCUUCCUAAUGUGCAUUGAGGGCAGUGCUGACGCAGCCCAUGUACAUGCUAAAUACACGUGGGAGUGUUUGUGAAGAGACAGGCCUGCACAACACAGGGGACCUGACACUGAGCAUCCAUGUGGCCCUUUCUGGUACCCAGAACUGUGCACCCCCCUGUGCAGCAUCUCACAGGACUAAACAGACAGUAACACAACCCCGAACAGACAGUAAAAACCCGGAACAGAGAGGAACAACCCUGAACAGACAGUAACAACCCGGAACAGAGAGGAAGAACCCCAAACAGGCAGUAACAACCCCCAACAGGCAGUAACAACCCCGAACAGAGAGUAACAACCCUGAACAGAGAGGAACAACCCCGAACUGAGAGGAACAACCCUGAACAGACACUAACAACCCAGAACCAGGCAGUUACAAGCCUGAACAGACAGUAACAACCGGGAACAGACAGUAACAACCCUGAACAGACAGUAAAAACCCGGAACAGAGAGGAAGAACCCCAAACAGGCAGUAACAACCCCCAACAGGCAGUAACAACCCCGAACAGAGAGGAACAAUCCCAAACAGGCAGUAACAACCCCGAACAGAGAGGAACAACCCCGAACUGAGAGGAACAACCCCAAACAGGCAGGAACAACCCUGAACAGACACUAACAACCCAGAACCAGGCAGUUACAAGCCUGAACAGACAGUAACAACCGGGAACAGACAGUAACAACCCUGAACAGACAGUAAAAACCCGGAACAGAGAGGAAGAACCCCAAACAGGCAGUAACAACCCCCAACAGGCAGUAACAACCCCAAACAGAGAGGAACAAUCCCAAACAGGCAGUAACAACCCCGAACAGAGAGGAAGAAUCCCAAACAGGCAGUAACAACCCUGAACAGACAGUAAAAACCCCGGAACAGGGAGGAACAACCCCAAACAGGCAGGAACAACCCCAAACAGGCAGUAACAACCCUGAACAGAGAGUAACAACCCCGAACAGACAGUAACAACCCCGAACAGGCAGUAACAACCCCAAACAGAGAGGAACAACCCUGAACAGACAGUAACAACCCUGAACAGACAGUAAAACCCCAGAACAGAGAGGAACGAACCCAAACAGGCAGGAACAACCCUGAACAGGCAGUAACAACCCUGAACAGAGAGUAACAACCCUGAACAGACAGUAACAACCCAGAACAGGGAGGAACAACCCGGAACAGAGAGGAACAACCCCAAACAGGCAGGAACAACCCCAAACAGGCAGUAACAACCCCGAACAGAGAGUAACAACCCCGAACAGACAGUAACAACCACGAACAGGCAGUAACAACCCCGAACAGAGAGGAACAACCCUGAACAGGCAGUAACAACCCUGAACAGACAGUAAAACCCCAGAACAGAGAGGAACAACCCCAAACAGGCAGGAACAACCCUGAACAGGCAGUAACAACCCUGAACAGAGAGUAACAACCCUGAACAGACAGUAACAACCCAGAACAGGGAGGAACAACCCCAAACAGGCAGGAACAACCCCAAACAGACAGUAACAGCCCUGAACAGAGUGUAACAACCCCGAACAGAGAGGAACAACACCGAACAGGCAGUAACAACCCCGAACAGAGAGUAACAACCCCGAACAGAGAGGAACAACCCCAAAUAGUCAGUAACAAUCCCGAACAGGCAGUAACAACUCCGAACAGAGAGUAACAACCCCGAACAGAAAGUAACAACCCCGAACAGAGAGUAACAACCCCGAACAGGCAGUAACAAUCCGGAACAGAGAGUAACAACCUGGAACAGGCAGUAACAACUCGGAACAGGCAGUAACAGCCCUGAACAGGCAGUAACAACCCGGAACAGAGAGUAACAACCCUGAGCAGGCAGUAACAACCCGGAACAGGCAGUAACAACCCCAGCUAAACCAAUAGAACCGGCCUGGCAGCCACUCCUGUUCCAGUGCAGCACUCCACCAUGCAGAGGGGUCGGAGAAGCAGUUGUAGGUCACAGCAAGGAGUGGGCCGUGGGGAUCAUGGCCAGGUCGUGAAAUCCAAGUGGCACCCGCCAUGGCACCAGCCAGAACAGGUCCCCUCCUUUCCAAAGGGCAGAGCUGGGGCUGGCCCUGGAGAUGCUGGGGUCAGCAAGGGCUGGGGCUGCGCUCCCUCCUGGGUCUGUGUCAAAAGCAGCCAGCACCGAAGCCUGUCCACAUCGGCCAGGCCCUGUGCAAGCCGCGCUUCCCAGCAGACGGCACGGAAUUGCUGGUGAGAGUGGACGCUGGGCCGGAACAGAGCGGCGCUUCCUG
rnacentral:lncRNA from 1 species